rnacentral:rRNA from 1 species
AAGACCUUGCGCUUUUGGAGCGGCCGAUGUCUGAUUAGCUUGUUGGUAAGGUAAAAGCUUACCAAGGCUUCGAUCAGUAGCUGGUCUGAGAGGACGACCAGCCACACUGGGACUGAGACACGGCCCAGACUCCUACGGGAGGCAGCAGUGGGGAAUUUUGGACAAUGGGCGCAAGCCUGAUCCAGCCAUGCCGCGUGAGUGAAGAAGGCCUUCGGGUUGUAAAGCUCUUUCAGCCGGGAAGAAAAGGUUGCGAUUAAUAAUCGCAAUUUAUGACGGUACCGGAAGAAGAAGCACCGGCUAACUACGUGCCAGCAGCCGCGGUAAUACGUAGGGUGCGAGCGUUAAUCGGAAUUACUGGGCGUAAAGGGUGCGCAGGCGGUUUUGUAAGUCAGAUGUGAAAUCCCCGGGCUUAACCUGGGAACU